rnacentral:tRNA from 1 species
CAAAAUAGAGCUUGUGUAGUUAAGCAUUUCAUUUACAUUGAGAGGUAAUCUGUGCGAUUCAGUUUGUUUUGA